rnacentral:lncRNA from 1 species
CUCUCAGAAUCUCAACAACAACAGGCAUCUGCCAACUUUGCUGGUAACUUUUCUACACCUGCUCGUUUACAGAAUGUGUCUUAUGGGGUUUGCAUGUUAACUAAAGUUAGUGAUUGCAUUUGGAUUAUAGACUCUGGUGCUUCUGACCACAUGACUUCUAAUAAAAAACUUCUCUUUGAUAUCAAACCUUCGAUUACCCCAUAUUUAGUUACCUUGCCAAGAUUCUAAUAAAGAACUUCUCUUUGAUAUCAAACCUUUGAUUACCCCAUAUUUAGUUACCUUGCCAAAUGGUUAUAAAGUCAAAGUUACUUGUACUGGAUCCAUACAAUUUCUCUGUUUCACUCUACAUAAUGUCCUUUACAUUCCCAGUUUCCAUUAUAAUCUGGUUUCUGUGUCCAAACUUGUCUGUCAGUUAGAUUCUAUUGUUCUAUUUACUAAGUUCUCUUGUUUGAUACAGGCCCCUUCUCUGAAGAGGCCACUGGAAAUUGGUAAACUGGAUGAUGGCCUUUACAAGCUUGUGCAAGCUUCUUCUUCUACUCCUUCUCAAUUUCAUGACCCUUGUAAUUACCAUUCUCCAUUACCUUCUGAUUCUGUUUCCUCUUCCCAUUGUACAUAUCAUUCUGAAUUGAAUAAAAUUGAGAUAUUAUGGCAUAAUAGACUAGGACAUAUACCAUUUGUUAGGAUGAGAGAUAUAUCUCAAAUACCAUGUAAAUUUUCACCCAAACAACCCUUCAUAUGCAUUGUAUGUCCACUAGCAAGGCAAUCCAGAUAGCCUUUUCCUGAUAGCUCUAUUAAAACAACACAUGCUUUCCAACUCAUACAUGUGGACACCUGGGGACCUUAUGCCACUCCUGUAAAUAAUGGCUGUAAAUAUUUCUUGACCAUAGUUGAUGAUUUUACUAGAGCCACUUGGACUCAUUUGAUGGGGUCCAAGAGCAAUGCCUUUUCCCUUAUCAAGUCUUUUGUUUCCAUGAUCAAGACUCAAUUUAAUUCUGUUAUACAAAUUGUCAGAAGCGAUAAUGCUCUUGAACUUGGGUCUAGUGCUUCUGGCAGUACCUUUUUUGCUGAAAAUGGGAUAAUUCACCAAACCUCUUGCUCUCACACACCCCAACAAAAUGGUGUAGUUGAGAGAAAACACAGAUAUCUACUAGAAACUUCAAGAGCCCUCUUGUUUCAAUCCCAUCUGCCUAUUAAAUUCUGGGGUGACUGUGUCCUUACUGCCACUUAUCUUAUAAAUAGAUUAAUUCUUAAUAAUAAGUCACCUUUUGAAUUGCUUUUUGGACAAGUUCCUUCUUAUAGUCACCUUAAAACAUUUGGUUGUCUUUUCUUUGCUUCAGUCCCUAAGCAGAAUAGGGACAACUUUCAGCCAAGAGCUGACCCUUGUAUUUUCCUGGGCUACCCUUUAGGAAAAAAGGGAUACAAACUGUAUAAUCUCAAAACUCAACUUUGUCUCAUUUCCAUGGAUGUAAAAUUUCAUGAAGAUAUAUUUCCUUUUGCCUCUUCAAACACUGCCUCUCCUGUUUCUCUUCCUCUUUCCAACCCCUCUACUGUUUGGCCUAUUCCUGAUGAUGUUCCAUUAUACACCACUUCACCACCUUCUUCUUCUCUUACACCUUCUGUAACUUCCUCUUCUCCUCCUCCUUCUCUCCACCACCUUUCUCCUUCUCCAUCUUCAGAGCCUGUAUUAUCUAUUCCUAGAAGAUCAACUAGGCCUCAUGUUCCUCCUCUUCACCUCCA